UGGUUUUCAUAGAGCUAUACAUUUAAUUUGAUUUUAUUAACUCUGUAUUUCAUGAUAACUUUUAAUGUGGAUUAAAUCUCCUGGUUAAUGUCUAUAAACAGACAACAUCUAAGGAAGUAAACCAGCGCCAUUAACAACUGAACGCACUUGCUCUGGUAUGACACUGAAGCCUCCUAACUGAGUGACUUUGUAGCUCCUUGCCCAUCAGCUCCAGCGGAGAGAAGAAAGCCAAAACCUCUGGCAGAAGAGGCUGAUAGUAUCAGCACAGCAGCAGCACAUAGAAGCUUCUGGGCACUCAUGCAGUAUUUUUCACUCAUAUUUGUUUCCUGACACAAACAUCUCUUUUAACGAGGAGUAUGGGAUAGCGUCGCUUGGCGUUCUGAGCUGUGGGCAGUCUCAAACUGAAGACAGACAGUGUAAUCUCAGCUGCCCUGAGAUAAAUGACGAAGCCACUC
rnacentral:lncRNA from 1 species